AGAGUUUGAUCCUGGCUCAGGAUGAACGCUAGCUACAGGCUUAACACAUGCAAGUCGAGGGGAAACGACAUCGAAAGCUUGCUUUUGGUGGGCGUCGACCGGCGCACGGGUGAGUAACGCGUAUCCAACCUGCCCACCACUUGGGGAUAACCUUGCGAAAGUAAGACUAAUACCCAAUGACGUCUCUAGAAGACAUCUGAAGGAGAUUAAAGAUUUAUCGGUGAUGGAUGGGGAUGCGUCUGAUUAGCUUGUUGGCGGGGUAACGGCCACCAAGGCGACGAUCAGUAGGGGUUCUGGAGAGGAAGGUCCCCCANAUUGGAACUGAGACACGGUCCAAACUCCUACGGGAGCA
rnacentral:rRNA from 1 species